rnacentral:rRNA from 1 species
UACGUAGGGUGCGAGCGCUAAUCGGAAUUACUGGGCGUAAAGCGUGCGCAGGCGGUUGUGCAAGACAGACGUGAAAUCCCCGGGCUCAACCUGGGAACUGCAUUUGUGACUGCACGGCUGGAGUGCGGCAGAGGGGGAUGGAAUUCCGCGUGUAGCAGUGAAAUGCGUAGAUAUGCGGAGGAACACCGAUGGCGAAGGCAAUCCCCUGGGCCUGCACUGACGCUCAUGCACGAAAGCGUGGGGAGCAAACAGG